rnacentral:rRNA from 1 species
AUUGAACGCUGGCGGCAUGCCUUACACAUGCAAGUCGAACGGCAGCACGGGUGCUUGCCCCUGGUGGCGAGUGGCGAACGGGUGAGUAAUACAUCGGAACAUGUCCUGUAGUGGGGGAUAGCCAGGCGAAAGCCGGAUUAAUACCGCAUACGAUCUACGGAUGAAAGAGGGGGCACUUCGGGCCUCGCGCUAUAGGGUUGGCCGACGGCUGAUUAGCUAGUUGGUGGGGUAACGGCUUACCAAGGCAACGAUGAGUAGCCGACCUGAGAGGGUGACCGGCCACACUGGAACUGAGACACGGCCCAGACUCCUACGGGAGGCAGCAGUAGGGAAUCUUCCGCAAUGGGCGAAAGCCUGACGGAGCAACGCCGCGUGAGUGAUGAAGGUCUUCGGAUCGUAAAACUCUGUUAUUAGGGAAGAACACAUGUGUACGUAACUGUGAACAUCUUGACGGUACCUAAUGAGAAAGCCCCGGCUAACUACGUG